UACGGGGGGGGCAAGCGUUGUUCGGAAUUACUGGGCGUAAAGGGCUCGUAGGUGGCCAACUAAGUCAGACGUGAAAUCCCUCAGCUUAACUGGGGAACUGCGUCUGAUACUGGAUGGCUUGAGUCCGGAAGAGGCGAGUGGAAUUCCUGGUGUAGCGGUGAAAUGCGCAGAUAUCAGGAGGAACACCAAUGGCGAAGGCAGCUCGCUGGGACGUGACUGACGCUGAGACGCGAAAGCGUGGGGAGCAAACAGG
rnacentral:rRNA from 1 species